UACCGGUGGAUACAGGACUUGACGACCAUCACUGAUGAUAUUUACACCAGGUCCCGCCAUGUGUGAACAGGAGCCGUACAGACAGCGUCCCUCAUGUCACCGCACAGGGACCAGAGUCCUGUAGAACACGUCUUCAGCACGUUAACGGUCUGCAGCAGCUGAACGUGUGACCAUGCGGCCCCGGGGAGUCAGGAAACUGCUAGUGGCCGCCAUGUUGGUGACGGUGAGCUGGACGUUCUACACCCUUCAUGGAACACUGCCCGACAGCACACCAUUUUCACCGCCAAAACCACAGCGAGAGCUGGAUGCUG